AACGAACGCUGGCGGCAGGCUUAACACAUGCAAGUCGAGCGCCCCGCAAGGGGAGCGGCAGACGGGUGAGUAACGCGUGGGAACGUACCCUUUACUACGGAACAACUCCGGGAAACUGGAGCUAAUACCGUAUGUGCCCUUUGGGGGAAAGAUUUAUCGGUAAAGGAUCGGCCCGCGUUGGAUUAGCUAGUUGGUGGGGUAAAGGCCUACCAAGGCGACGAUCCAUAGCUGGUCUGAGAGGAUGAUCAGCCACAUUGGGACUGAGACACGGCCCAAAUUCCUACGGGAGGCAGCAGUGGGGGAUAUUGGACAAUGGGCGCAAGCCUGAUCCAGCCAUGCCGCGUGAAUGAUGAAGGCCUUAGGGUUGUAAAGUUCUUUCACCGGAGAAGAUAACGACGGUAUCCGGAGAAGAAGCCCCGGCUAACUUCGUGCCAGCAGCCGCCGUAACAC
rnacentral:rRNA from 1 species